CUCUAAUGUUCGCUGGUAUGUCAGAUGCUUAAUGCUUAUUGUAUGCGGACAAGUUAUCACGCCAGAUACCUUUCACCUUUUUCUUUUUCUUGCAGCGUGAACGUCUUCUCAUCGUGACAAAGUUUCACCUUCUAUACCUCUGCAUCGCGGAACUAGUGGAGUUGGAUAUUCUAAUAUGUUGUUGAACUGUUGACGUAAUAUGAUUAUGUCUCCUAUUGCUAUUUAUUGUUUCGCUUCAAAGAAAGAGGAAGUGAUGUCAUAGACAGGGCCUUUUAUGGGCAUUAUAUCUUUUUUCUG